GAUGAACGCUAGCGGGAGGCCUAAUACAUGCAAGUCGAACGGUAAGGUCCCUUCGGGGAUACACGAGUGGCGGACGGGUGCGUAACGCGUACGAAACAUACCUUCAACAGGGAGAUACCUCCGGGAAACUGGAAAUAACACCCCAUAGUAUUGAGAUAUCGCAUGAUAUUCCAAUUAAAGCUUUGGCGGUUGAAGAUUGUCGUGCGUCUGAUUAGCUAGUUGGUGAGGUAACGGCUCACCAAGGCGACGAUCAGUAGCUGGUCUGAGAGGAUGAUCAGCCACACUGGAACUGAGACACGGUCCAGACUCCUACGGGAGGCAGCAGUAGGGAAUAUUGGACAAUGGGCGGAAGCCUGAUCCAGCCAUCCCGCGUGUAGGAAGUAAGGCCCUAUGGGUUGUAAAC
rnacentral:rRNA from 1 species